UUCCAAUUCCAGCCUAAUAUUCCAUCGGGCCUAAGAAACCAGGCCGAACCCAGGCAGGGCACAGAUCGAGUAGGGCCAGGAUCUCCCUGGCGCACUUGAUGAUGCUGCAGUAACCGAAUCCCUGGAACUUCAUAAGAUAAAAAACCGGCAGUGGGCCAUCUUUAAAACUUCAGCUAUAAAAGGAGAAGGGCUAUUUGGAGGGCUUAGAUUGGCUCAGUAACACUCUCAAGUCCGGAGGCUAAUUUGUGGUGCAAGGGUGUACGUCUCUCUCAAGCCCAAAAGUGAGGCUGGAUAGAA